UAGGGAAUUUUGCGCAAUGGGGGAAACCCUGACGCAGCGACGCCGCGUGAGUGAUGAAGGCCUUCGGGUUGUAAAGCUCUGUCGAGAGGGAUGAAUGUAUCGAGGUCUAAUAGGCCUUGGUAGUGACGGUACCUCUGGAGGAAGCACCGGCUAACUCUGUGCCAGCAGCCGCGGUAAUACAGAGGGUGCAAGCGUUAUUCGGAAUUACUGGGCGUAAAGCGCAUGUAGGCGGGUUAUCAAGUCAGGUGUGAAAUCCCGGAGCUCAACUCCGGAAUUGCAUUUGAAACUGGUAGUCUUGAGUACGGUAGAGGGUAGUGGAAUUCCUGGUGUAGAAGUGAAAUUCGUAGAUAUCAGGAGGAACACCUGAGGCGAAGGCGGCUACCUGGACCGGGACUGACGCUGAGAUGCGAUAGCGUGGGGAGCAAACAGG
rnacentral:rRNA from 1 species